UCUCGGAAAAUGUUGUAAUGACAUACUUCUUGGAGCUUGGUUCCAAGAUGAAAUAUUCAACUUUAUGGGUCAAUUAUUCAAUGCUGAAGGCAACCCUUGAAAUUAGACAUGAUGUGGAUAUAUCUAAAUAUUCAAAACUUCGGGCAUUCCUGAAACGGCAAGCACAUGCCUAUAAGCCAAAAAAAUCCAAGAUUUUAACUAAAGAAGAAAUAAACAAAUUUAUUCAGGAAGCUCCAGAUAAGGAAUAUUUAAUGAUUAAGGUAGCUGUAAUAUUUGGAAUUUCCGGAGCUUGCAGAAUGGACGAGCUGGUUAAAAUGACUGUACAAGAUAUACAAGACCUACUAUCUAAACUUUUAGUUACCAUACCGGAUUCAAAAACCAAUACAUCAAGAUCAUUUAUAGUAAACGAAAUGUACUUAAAUCUAUACCGCAAUACCAAAAUGAAAAAGUAGUAAGAAUUCACCAAUUUAGAAACAUGCCUAAAAUAGUGGCCAGUUGUUUGAAUUUGCCAAAUUCGAAAGAAUAUACCGACCACUAUUUUCGUCGGUCUUCUGCUACAAUGCUUGUUGAUUCUGGUGGAGAUAUUAUUAGUUUAAAGAGACUGGGUGGAUGGAAAUCAACAAACGUCGCUGAAGGAUAUAUAAAAGAGUCUCUUACUAAUAAGAAAGAAGUGUCAAAUAAAAUUUUCACAGCAGAAAAAAAUCAAGAAAGUAAAUCUAAUAUUUCUAAUACUGCAGUAA